AACGCUGGCGGCGUGCCUAAUACAUGCAAGUCGAACGCAUUGUGGUUGAAAUGAUAUGAAGAACUUGUUCAGAUUUGAUUUUCAACAUUGCAAUGAGUGGCGAACGGGUGAGUAACACGUGGGAAACCUACCUCUUAGCAGGGGAUAACAUUUGGAAACAAAUGCUAAUACCGUAUAAUAAUUAAAACCGCAUGGUUUUAGUUUAAAAGAUGGUCUUGCUAUCACUAAGAGAUGGUCCCGCGGUGUAUUAGUUAGUUGGUGAGGUAAUGGCUCACCAAGACAAUGAUACAUAGCCGAGUUGAGAGACUGACCGGCCACAAUGGGACUGAGACACGGCCCAUACUCCUACGGGAGGCAGCAGUAGGGAAUCUUCCACAAUGGACGAAAGUCUGAUGGAGCAACGCCGCGUGUGUGAUGAAGGGUUUCGGCUCGUAAAACACUGUUGUAAGAGAAGAAUGACAUUGAGAGUAACUGUUCAAUGUGUGACGGUAUCUUACCAGAAAGGAACGGCUAAAUACGUGCCAGCAGCCGCGGUAAUACGUAUGUUCCAAGCGUUAUCCGGAUUUAUUGGGCGUAAAGCGAGCGCAGACGGUUAUUUAAGUCUGAAGUGAAAGCCCUCGGCUCAACCGAGGAAUUGCUUUGGAAACUGGAUAACUUGAGUGCAGUAGAAGAAAGUGGAACUCCAUGUGUAGCGGUGAAAUGCGUAGAUAUAUGGAAGAAC
rnacentral:rRNA from 1 species